UUACACAUUUGGACACUUGAACGAAACCCACAUGUCGAGCUUAUUAAAUUAUGUUUAAUUACUUUUUCAUAGGUACUAUCCAAUAUGAAAGAAAAAAUGUUUACAAAAAAUAUUAACUGAUGAAGAUUGAAAGAGGAUUCAGAUGCUCAAAUCAAAUUAAGCUUUCAAGUUCUUAAAGCGGAAAUUCAACUUACAUGUAAAGUAUUGACAAGUUGGAAAAUGUGGAAGGAAGUAUGGUGAAAACUUAAGAAGAACUUGUUCAAAAGUUGCAAGAUGCUAAUAAUAUCGAGCUACAGAAACUCAAUGUUUUUAAAAUAUCUUUAACAUGGAUUAGUGAGAUAGUUUGUUACAUAAAUCAAUAACUUAACAAAUUCACAUCAAACAAAAUUUGUUUUCUCUGCAAUAUGAAAAAGAAACAUUUUAUUGCAAUUUGUUAAGCAUUUUAAUUUUUUAUUUAAAUCCACGUCCAGCCAUUCUUUAUAGUUGGCCAACAGCUGAAUCGUCUAUGUGCCAUGCAAGAAGGCAAACCCUCCCGCCAUUGCCAUCAACGCAGCGUGAAUUAAGCGAAUAUUAGUACUAUAAGUAUUAUAAGUACAAUAAAAGAAAAUUCAGUUAAAAUAUCAACUUUUUUAAUAUACGAUGUAACUACUAUUGCUUACUGUUUACAGGAAUCAGUGUAAUAAUUUUCAGUUUUACCAAGAGUGGGUUGUUGACCAUGCUGGUAAAUACAGUAUUAUGUAUGCAUUUCAGGAGUAUAUUAGUGCUGUGGUUCAUCUAGGCGCCACAUAACUACUUGCAGAUGCCACAUUUAAGGUAGUUCCAUAACCUUAUUAUCGACAACUUCUCAAUCUAAGAUUUUUCACAUACAUAUCAAGGAAAGCGAAACGAAAGAUUCUCAUCCAGUUACAACCAAAAUCAUGACCGGAACCACCUAAGACUCAAGAAAAUAAACCGUAAGCGGAGUUUCCUAUGAAUGCAGACGAACAUCUACAUUAUUUUUUAACUUAUCAUUGUGAGCAAUGACUGGUGAAAUUAUGGCUUUGAUAACGGUGAACCUUGAUUGUAAAAUAUUAAAAAUACAUA